GAUGAAGAACGCAGCGAAAUGUGAUAAGUAAUGUGAAUUGCAGAAUCUCGUGAAUCAUCGAAUCUUUGAACGCACAUUGCGCCCAAUGGUAUUCCAUUGGGCAUACCUGUUUGAGUAUCAGAAUCCUUUCAAUUAUCAAACUUUUAUAUAUAGAGAUGUAUGUAAAGAUGUUUGGAAUAAAGUUGAGAAAAGUAGUAUUGUUUAUAAUAUUACUUUCUUAAAAACCAGAAAUAUUAUGUUUUGAUUUUUCUUCACCUCAUUUUGUAUGAAAUUUUAACAAAUGAGUAUGAGUAAAAAUAACAAUACUUUGGAUGACCUCAAAUCAGGUAGGGAUACCCGCUGAACUUAAGCAUAUCAAUAAGCGGAGGA
rnacentral:misc_RNA from 1 species